rnacentral:sRNA from 1 species
ACGGUGAGGAUUACAGGUUGGCCGGC